AACGAACGCUGGCGGCAUGCCUAACACAUGCAAGUCGAACGAGACCUUCGGGUCUAGUGGCGCACGGGUGCGUAACGCGUGGGAAUCUGCCCCUCGGUUCGGAAUAACACAGAGAAAUUUGUGCUAAUACCGGAUAAUGACGAGAGUCCAAAGAUUUAUCGCCGAGGGAUGAGCCCGCGUAAGAUUAGCUAGUCGGUGGGGUAAUGGCCUACCAAGGCGACGAUCUUUAGCUGGUCUGAGAGGAUGAUCAGCCACACUGGGACUGAGACACGGCCCAGACUCCUACGGGAGGCAGCAGUGGGGAAUAUUGGACAAUGGGCGAAAGCCUGAUCCAGCAAUGCCGCGUGAGUGAUGAAGGCCUUAGGGUUGUAAAGCUCUUUACCAGGGAUGAUAAUGACAGUACCUGGAGAAUAAGCUCCGGCUAACUCCGUG
rnacentral:rRNA from 1 species